rnacentral:snoRNA from 1 species
GGCACUUGUGUUUUUAUUGAGUUGGUGGACAAAGACAUAAAAAUAGGUGCAAAAACUAAACCCCCUUUGCAAUCCAGAAUUCAUGGUUCAUUUUGAGUUUUGAUACAUGUAAGACAUGAUACU